GUGCUGUCUUGAAAAGAGCCAAAUUUGAGCAUCAGAAGACCUUCCAGUCAGCUUGAUGCAUGAUCUCUGUAGCUCUGAGA
ensembl:snoRNA